GUUCCGGGCCUCACCUCACAGUGAGCACUGCGCAUGCCCAGUAGUAAACAGCAAGCACGGAGGACGUGAGCCGCUGAAGAUUUUACUAUAAAAUCACCCUGGAAUACCAAAUAAAUUUAACAGUCCAGGUGUCAAGGGCAAAGGGACCCAAUCCGGCAGAAGACAAAGAUCCUAUAUUUGAACGUGGCUCUACCACAACCUACUCAAGCUUUAGGAAGGGCAGCUACACCAAACCCUGGUCCAGCGGAGAUCAGACAGACUGAAAUGUUUUACUUGGCCAUCAGCAUGGUGGGGACAGACUUCUCCAUGACUGGUCAGCUGUUUCCACACCGAGCUCGAAAAGAGAUUAAGUAUGUAAUGAGAUCAACAAUCAAGCGGCCCUUACUCUUCUGACCAUCGGGAACCCAGCUCAGAUGAUCCAGACAUCAGAAAUGCCCUGUACAAGUGGAAAUGAUAUUGUUGUACAUGAAGAGGUCGUCCAUGAGGAAGAUAUCACAGAAACAGCCAUCAUGUCUAGUUCUUCUGUAAGCUGUGAGUCUGAGACAAAAGGUGACGUUGAAUUUUCGAACUGUGAAACUCAUAUUCCAGAACCUUCUGCUGAAGAAACCAUCAUCCAGAAAGAAGAACCAAUCAAAUUACAGACAACUGAUCUCAUCCUGCUCCCAUUCAACAUGAUACACAGUCUCCACCAAGUAAAAGAGGACGAUACUCCAAACCCAAACCCAAUAUUAGUCAGUGUUUGAGAACCAGAUGAGCUCCACAGCAGCAGAUCUCUCCAGAACUUGUCACAGGUUCUUUGGGGACCUCUAAGUGUCCGUCUUCCACAGAACAGGAUAAAAAUCCAAUGCAAGAAGAUUGUGUUCCUGUGGAUCACCUGCCAGAUUCCUUUACCAUCCGCCCUGAGGUACUACAGCCGGAUAUAUCAUCUGAAACAAGAGAUGUCAUUCCUGAAAGAGUGACUAAAGAAGAUAAUAGAUCCGUUUCAUCUUUGAAGAGAAAGGAUGAUGAUAUAAUCACAGAGGAAGAUAUAAAAGAACAAGAAGGGUUGGGAUCAGAACCACAGCUGACUAAAAGUGUGAACGAGUCUCAGAGCACAUCAGUUGAGUCCUCUAAACCUGUCAGGAGGCACUGUAGACUCAAACCUCAACCAAACCUGACUCAGACAUCCAGACGCAGCAGCACAUCAACCACAGCAGGCUUCCAUGAACACUUUCACUGAAAGUGCUGAAGAGGAUUCUGUAUUUACCACAGAACUUUACGUAUCCAAAAGUGCAGCUCAACAAGGAGCAUCAAGCAUUGAAUCAGCAGAGAACUCAGAUGAAGAACCCACAAGUGUCUCCAAAUACUUCUUAAGUGACAUCUUUACUGAAGUUGAUGAACUAGAAGACAUGGAUUUAGGCCAAAGGUUGGAAUUACAAACCAGUCACAACUAACUAAACAGUCAGAAAUAUAGUUUGACAUAAGUUGGAUGUAUAGACAUCUGAAUAUUUGGAAGGGCACUUCUACCAAGAAGAGCCACAACUGAAGAGAUGCAGCAAAAACGUACCUCAGUAAUAGCUGACAUAAUGUCUUUUAUGUCAUUAUAAUUUUAUUUAAGGAUAAAUAAGUAUUAAUUCAGUUAAGUUUUUGUUACUGUUGCACUCUUUUGUUAUGUAAAGUUGUAUUAUAAUUCAUGUCUGAUCUGAGCCUAACUGAAUUUUUUAUUUAUUUAUUUGGUCUCGACCUGCAUUUUAUUUCCAGUUAUGAAUUAGGAACGUUAAUUUCUCUCACAGUAAGUGAUUUUUCUUUUAUUAUUUAUUCAUCUUUUUUAAGAGCAGCUUUGAAACAAACCUCUAUUUUAAAUAUGCACUGUCCUGUUUUUAGCUCCAUGCUGUCUGCGUGUUGUAUUUUAGCAUUGCUCCACAUUAUUUGUAGCAAUUUAGAUUUCAACUUUUAACCUUUGUUCAGUUUUAUGCUCUUCAUAUUUGUUUUUCAUAGUUGUGUCUCAAGCAAAUGUUUUACUUGUGUUUGUAAAUAUGUUAAUAAAAAUGUACAGUAUGUUUGUAAAGGUUGAAUUUUACAUUUGUUUCCAUCUGUCUGAUUAUAUGAGAAAUAAUUUAUAUUUAUAAAUGACAAAUUUGAUGAUUUAGAUUCAACGUUUUUAAUAAUAGUCACUUAUUUUUUUAGCUACCUUGUAUGCAUGCAUGAAUGAAUAACGUACUUUAAUUGAACAGAAAUGUUACAUAGAUUAGCAAUUAAAGGGAU